CUACAGGUUCUUUUGGGAUUCUGUGACACCAACCCCGACCACCAGAUUAAAGUCCUAGGACCACAACACAGCUGGUGCGCAGUAUGAAUGACUGGAGAUGCUACCAAUCAAACAUGCGCAGUAUGGAUGGAUGUGCGUUCAGCAAGAGAUUGUACAUUGCUUCCCUAUCAUCAAGAGGACAAAUUACAGCAACCUUGGGCAAGUCCAUCCUCUUUUGUACACCUCAGUUAAAAUCCAGCUAUAUGAAAGUGGGUAACAGCAGAACCCCACUGGAAACAAGAUACUACAGUAUAUUUAUUCAUUUUCCACAUUUUAGAAGAACUGAAAAGACUAUAUUUAACAACUAGAAAAAUAAUACUGCCAAACAAGAUGGGCCUUCAGUGCAUGUGAGUCUCUUUAGUGUAUUUAUCAAAAUAUAUAAAAUGCUUGGAGUGUCUUCCAGUAUUGAAUGAUUUAAAGAGCCAGUAUAAAAUCCAGCGCUCCAGAUAAGGUGUUUUGUCUGGGAGUAACUUACCCUCUAAUUUUAAUAAUGAGAGAGUAAAAUGGAUUUUCAGGGGGUAAAAUGAAACAUUACCUUGAAGUCACA